GCGACAAGGACAGCUUGAUCUGAGGGACUACUUCGGCUUUAAGAGGACAAAAAGUACCACCGAAGAGCAGGAUAAUCAUGGCGAGGAAGCAGGAAGGAGAGCAGAGGAGCCUAGAGCUGGAGAAGGAACAG